GGAGCAGGAAUAGUAUCGACGUUGUGCAAAUUUUCCAGUGCACGCUGUUCGAAACUGCAAAACUGAUUUGGGGAAGAUGGGCAGUUGUGCUUCAUAUCUAUCUUCGAUUCUUUUCGACGAUCAUCUUCCCCAUAUCC